UACGUAGGGCGCAAGCGUUGUCCGGAAUUAUUGGGCGUAAAGAGCUCGUAGGCGGCUUGUCACGUCGGGUGUGAAAGCCCGGGGCUUAGCCCCGGGUCUGCAUUCGAUACGGGCUAGCUAGAGUGUGGUAGGGGGAGAUCGGAAUUCCUGGUGUAGCGGGUGAAAUGCGCAGAUAUCAGGAGGAACACCGGGUGGCGAAGGCGGAUCUCUGGGCCAUUACUGACGCUGAGGAGCGAAAGCGUGGGGAGCGAACAGG
rnacentral:rRNA from 1 species